AAGAGAAAGGUGGAGCUGAAAGUCAGAGUCCCCCAGGUGGAGGUGGAUCCAGGGGUGGAGUCUGUCCAGCUGCCCUUCAACACAAUUCACCUGCCUAAAGAUGCUAAAGUGGAGUGGAAGGACAAAGACAACAAAAAGGUCCACGUGUAUGAGAACGGCUCUGACCAGCCUGAAGAACAGCACCAGGCUUACAGAGGACGAACUAAAAUGCAGAGAAACCUGCUGAAAACUGGAGACCUCAGUCUGACCCUGAAACACCCCACAGACUGGGACACAAAGACCUACAGAUGCACCGUCUACAACAGGUGGAAGAUGAUCCUAAUAAAGGCUCAAGUUAAGCUGAAAGUCAGAGUGUGUCAGGUGGAGGUGGAGGAGGGGGCGGAGUCUGUCCAGCUGCCCUUCAGAACCACACAAAACCUGCCUGAA